rnacentral:piRNA from 1 species
UAACGGAGCCCACCUCAAUUGUUAACCGCC